UGUGAUGAUUUUGCAGAAUCNCCUUANUUGAUCUNGCUCAGGACGAACGCUGGCGGCGUNCNUAUACAUGCNAGUCGAACGAGAAUUUUUACACYGAGUGCUUGCACUCCCCGURARAAAUUCGAGUGGCGGACGGGUGAGUAACACGUGGGUAACCUGCCCAAAAGAAGGGGAUAACAUUUGGAAACAAAUGCUAAUACCGUAUAACCAUGAUGACCGCAUGGUCAUKAUGUAAAAGGUGGUUUUGCUAUCGCUUUUGGAUGGACCCGCGGCGUAUUAACUAGUUGGUAGGGUAACGGCCUACCAAGGUGAUGAUACGUAGCCGAGUUGAGAGACUGAUCGGCCACAAUGGGACUGAGACACGGCCCAUACUCCUACGGGAGGCAGCAGUAGGGAAUCUUCCACAAUGGGCGCAAGCCUGAUGGAGCAACGCCGCGUGAAUGAAGAAGGUCUUCGGAUCGUAAAAUUCUGUUGUUAGAGAAGAAUAUGAGUAAUAGUAACUGAUUAUUCACUGACGGUAUCUAACCAGCAAGUCACGGCUAACUACGUGCCAGCAGCCGCGGUAAUACGUAGGUGGCAAGCGUUGUCCGGAUUUAUUGGGCGUAAAGGGAACGCAGGCGGUUUUUUAAGUCUGAUGUGAAAGCCUUCGGCUUAACCGGAGAUGUGCAUUGGAAACUGGAAGACUUGAGUGCAGAAGAGGAGAGUGGAACUCCAUGUGUAGCGGUGAAAUGCGUAGAUAUAUGGAAGAACACCAGUGGCGAAAGCGGCUCUCUGGUCUGUAACUGACGCUGAGGUUCGAAAGCAUGGGUAGCGAACAGGAUUAGAUACCCUGGUAGUCC
rnacentral:rRNA from 1 species